rnacentral:misc_RNA from 1 species
GAAUGAGCAGCGAUCGUUUCGAUUCAAUUGCACCUGAAAGUGAAAAUUUCUGUUUAAUAGUGGUCAAAAUUCCCCAUGCAACUGUUCGUAUUAUUUUUCAUUCGAUUCCAAGUACAAUAACACGUCAUCGUUCUUAAUUAAUCUCUUCGUCUCUCCUCGAUUCUAUUCAUAAAUGAAGUUAAAGGAGAAGCAAAGCUGAACCCAGUUUGCACUCAUGAACGCUACGAGCAUUGUUACAGGGGCAUAACUCUUUCAGGCAGCGAUACAAGUUUAACUGACAGUGUUUCGCGCUGCGUAAAAUGCCGAAUACAGCUCUCGGGACGGUUCAACUUCCAACUUUCCAUCGGGACAAAGUUCCAAGAAGGGCGUCUCUUCUCAACCGCGAAAACUUGCAACUAAUUCCCUCCAGGGUGUGUCACCUAUACGCAACGAGUGACAGACUGGUUGUUCUCCAUUUCCUCGAAUCGCCAAUGAUACCAACAAAUUGUAUCAAGUUGUCCAUAGCGAUGAUUAAAACGAAAAGAGUGGCACAAUGCACUUUGCAUUGUCGGUCAAUGCGAAACGAAACCGUCUGCCGUUACUAGAGCGUGACUACUAGGGUGUCGAUAGAAUUAAAAGAACAGAUAGAAAGAGAGGAAGAAAGAAGCAACAACUAGAGAUACAGAGCACAAGAAAAAAUGAGUGUCACGACGAUGCAUCCUGUUCGUUCCUAUUUUUCAUUCUCUACCCUCCCGACCAGGCUAUGCCGGAAGAAAAGAGAAACAAAGACCAAGGUGGCGUUCGUCGAAUCACUGAAACGUCUCGCGCGUUUGUUUGAUUUCAUUCGGAACCAAUUGAUUUGUUUGCGUCCAUUUCCACCCGGGCAACGUUAUUUCCACCUAUCGAAUGUGAAACGCGAAGCGUUCCGUUGAAUCGUUCGGAAAACUGAACGCGCUCGUGAGAUAAAUUCCGACCGUUUACGCCGAGUCUCCACGGUCUCCCCGGACGUUUCCAGGCGAGACGAACUUUACGGUUCACGAUCGACGAGGUAUCCGACACUGCGGUAGUCGCUUGUUUCGAAAACUUAAUUUUCUAACGGUGUAUUUACUGUAACCGAUUGCAAACGAAAAUACAGC